rnacentral:rRNA from 1 species
AUUGAACGCUGGCGGCAGGCCUAACACAUGCAAGUCGAGCGGCAGCGGAAGGAAGCUUGCUUCCUUGCCGGCGAGCGGCGGACGGGUGAGUAAUGUCUGGGGAUCUGCCCGAUAGAGGGGGAUAACUACUGGAAACGGUGGCUAAUACCGCAUAAUCUCUAAGGAGCAAAGCAGGGGACCUUCGGGCCUUGCGCUAUCGGAUGAACCCAUAUGGGAUUAGCUAGUAGGUGGGGUAAUGGCUCACCUAGGCGACGAUCCCUAGCUGGUCUGAGAGGAUGAUCAGCCACACUGGGACUGAGACACGGCCCAGACUCCUACGGGAGGCAGCAGUGGGGAAUAUUGCACAAUGGGCGCAAGCCUGAUGCAGCCAUGCCGCGUGUAUGAAGAAGGCCUUCGGGUUGUAAAGCACUUUCAGCGAGGAGGAAGGUGGUGAGCUUAAUACGCUCAUCAAUUGACGUUACUCGCAGAAGAAGCACCGGCUAACUCCGUGCCAGCAGCCGCGGUAAAAC